rnacentral:tRNA from 1 species
GGCCUGAUGGUCUAGAGGUAUGAUUCUCUCUUAGGGUUGUCGCAAGACGCUUUAUUGGGAGAGGUCCCGGGUUCAAUCCCCGGUUAGGCCC